AUUCUACCUUAUUUGAUAGUAGAUUUAAAACUUUGCAACAGAACCGUUCAUGGGUAUAGCAUGAAUUGUUUAACUGUCCUCUAGGAUUCCCGUCCUAUGGCAGUCGGUUC
rnacentral:antisense_RNA from 1 species